rnacentral:rRNA from 1 species
AUACGGAGGGUGCAAGCGUUAAUCGGAAUUACUGGGCGUAAAGAGUACGUAGGUGGUUCGUUAAGUCAGAUGUGAAAGCCCAGGGCUCAACCUUGGAACUGCAUUUGAAACUGGCGAACUAGAGUAUGGUAGAGGGGGGUAGAAUUCAUAGUGUAGCGGUGAAAUGCGUAGAUAUUAUGAGGAAUACCAGUGGCGAAGGCGGCCCCCUGGACCAAUACUGACACUGAGGUACGAAGGCGUGGGGAGCGAACAGGAUUAGAAACCCUAGUAGUCC